rnacentral:lncRNA from 1 species
CUCGAUUGUACUAUAAAGUUCCAAAAAUAGGUAGCCAGUAUACAAUAAUAUUCCAAAAUAUUACAAAGAAAUAAAUUACGGAGACUUAUCUUAUGAAGAACAACAAAACCGGCCUCUAUUCCACAAAGGAAUCACACUAGAUCACAAAGAUCUCACCAAGAACAUGAAUUGCUCUCUCUCAAGUUAUUCAACAUCAAGAACAUAUUACCCAACAAGUAACAUUCCAUCAAGGAACACAACAAAACCAGCCACUACCGCACAUAGGAAGAGACCGAGACCACUAAGAUCUCACAUGAAAUCGGGUAAAACUCAAAUCCCAUAGAUUUGACUUAACCAAAACUGAAAUAGAACAAUAACCAUGUGGAUCUAAAAUAUUUCUUGAUGAUAACAGGUUUUAUUUUCAGAAAAUAUUCCAAGAAUCAAGCCCUAAUCUCACUAAGUAGAAAGGAUUUUUUGCAAAGAUGAGAGAGAGAGAUGAAGGGCCGAAUUUUCAGGGAGAAGAGAGAGAGAGAGAGAGACUUUUUCUUUUGGAGAGUGAGACGUGAG